rnacentral:rRNA from 1 species
AUUGAACGCUGGCGGCAGGCCUAACACAUGCAAGUCGAGCGGCAGCGACUUAACUGAACCUUCGGGGAACGUUAAGGGCGGCGAGCGGCGGACGGGUGAGUAAUGCCUGGGAAUAUGCCCUGAUGUGGGGGAUAACUAUUGGAAACGAUAGCUAAUACCGCAUAAUCUCUUCGGAGCAAAGAGGGGGACCUUCGGGCCUCUCGCGUCAGGAUUAGCCCAGGUGGGAUUAGCUUGUUGGUGAGGUAAUGGCUCACCAAGGCAACGAUCCCUAGCUGGUCUGAGAGGAUGAUCAGCCACACUGGAACUGAGACACGGUCCAGACUCCUACGGGAGGCAGCAGUGGGGAAUAUUGCACAAUGGGGGAAACCCUGAUGCAGCCAUGCCACGUGUGUGAAGAAGGCCUUCGGGCUGUAAAGCACUUUCAGUAGGGAGGAAGGUAGUGUAGUUAACACCUGCAUUAUUUGACGUUACCUACAGAAGAAGCACCGGCUAACUCCGUGCCAGCAGCCGCGGUAAUACGGAGGGUGCGAGCGUUAAUCGGAAUUACUGGGCGUAAAGCGCAUGCAGGCGGCCUGUUAAGUCAGAUGUGAAAGCCCGGGGCUUAACCUCGGAAUUGCAUUUGAAACUGGCAGGCUAGAGUCUUGUAGAGGGGGGUAGAAUUUCAGGUGUAGCGGUGAAAUGCGUAGAGAUCUGAAGGAAUACCAGUGGCGAAGGCGGCCCCCUGGACAAAGACUGACGCUCAGAUGCGAAAGCGUGGGGAGCAAACAGG